GCAUUUGAAAAAAAAAAAAGUGUGACAAUUCCUGGCUUGGUUAAUCUGGGAUAAUUUACAAUUUAUUUUUUUUUCCUAUCUGUUCCUUUUGGUCUUAAACUGACCUGCUGGAUACAAAGCUUUUACCCUUUAAUUGAUUUUUUUUUUCCCAUCCACUUAUUACAUGGAAUAGAGAUCAGAAGUUCCAAACCAUUUCCAGACUACAAUUCUUUUCCACUGAAUUGUGCUGCAUGGUUGUAUUGUGAUCAUUAAUGACUUAAAAACAUCUAACUGCAGAAACUUUCGUUAGAAGCUUUCAAAGUUGACAGAACUCAGAGGAACAUUGCUUUGAUAAAAAGAAAUCCAUUAGUAACCAUAAAAGCAAUAUGAGAAGGACUUCUGAUGUCAACAAGCCUGUAGUCACAGGCAAAGAAUAAUCAUUCUGAAAAAACAUCACCACAGGUAAGUCUUCUGACUGACACUGGAAAUUAAGGAGAUGAGUUAUCCUUUCUUUCAAAUUCUGCUAAGAUUUUCUUCAAG
rnacentral:lncRNA from 1 species